GCCAAGGAAGUACCUUGCGACAAAGAAGCGUCAAUUUACCAAUUGCGAGCAUUGGUAAAAGCAGUCAUGGCACAGAAUCAGUCUGGAGAGACUGAUAGACCCGAAGAGCAGGUCAGCAGUCAGCCUAGCAGUGUCUGCAAAUGUGCUUGCCGGACAACUUGUGGAUAUUGGUCCGGAGCCUCUUAUUGAGCAGCGCGGCUUGGGAAACAUUAUGCAGCCAAGUACACCGGAUCAAGUGGGUGCUAAAAAAUUGCCGACGAUGUCUCGUGAGACCUCUGUAGGACCAGAAGCGAACGUGCAUGUUCGUGAAAGCGCACAAGCGAGCGAAACCGAUGAAUUGGCUUCGAUUCUUAGUAUAAUCGAAUUGUAUACAGCACGUAAAAACCUGGCGGAGCUAAAAACACGUGUUAUGGAGCUGGAGGAGAACUUAAGCGGACCGGAAUAUAAUUGCCGCAUGAAGUUGAAAGAUGUCGGAACUACUGUACCUAAAUUCUCUCGUGAUGGUGAUCUGCCCAUUCACGUAUGGAUUCGUGAGCUGGAGAAAGCGGCAAGAGUGCAUGUACUGAGUGAUGCCCAAUGUUGGUCAUUGGGCAACCGACUGCUGGAGGGAUCUGCUAAAGCAUACAUGACAUAUAAAAAGACUGCAACCUGGAACGAGCUGAAGGAUGUCCUUGAGAAAGUAUUUGGCCUUCAAAUGACAAACUACGAGAUUGCUAACCAAAUGAGAAAGCGCCCGAUUGGCAAAGGAAAGUCACUCUUGCAGUAUUUCAUCAUUCUACGAAAUAUUGCGCAGCAGGGCAAUUUUGAAGACACCGAUGUGGUUAAAUACAUUGUUGACGGACUACAAGAUCGACCCGGAUUGUCCGCACCGUUGUAUUAUUAAGGAAUAAUAAUAUUCUCUAAACGAAUUGCGAGAGAAGAUGAUGCGUUUUCAGACAGUUAAGCCACCAUCCAAAAACUACGUUCUUUAGGCUCGUCCGACUUCGUUCGCAGGCCAUUACGCCUGCUGCAAAGGAGAAGAUAUGCCCGGAGAGACCAAAAGAAAGUUGCUAUCGGUACUUCAAAGUGGGCCAUCAAUACCGGAAUUGUCCAAUGCGAACCCAGAUUGCCGCCAUGAGCGCUAGUGAAGACCCGGACACCAUUGAUGAUAAGUCAUUUAUUGAAUUAAUAAUUAUUGUAAUAACCCUAAUGUAAACAUGAAUGCAUCCCCGUUUCGAGAAUGGCUAACAGAGUUACAAACCGUUUGUGCAACGCUGUCAGAUACCGGGAAUACUACUGUUGGCAGUGAAUUUGGAUUAGGCGCGAUGCGUGAUUGCCGAGACAUCGUGCAUGAGCAUUACAUUGACUGAUUUUCAAUUAAUUACGGGUUGCCCAAAUAUAUGAUGAGAAUAUGUCUGACAGAUACAACACCAUUUCAUAGUAGUCCUAGAAGGUUAUCGUAUUAUGAAAGGGGAAUCGUUUGUAAAACAUGCGGAAAAUGGAUGGCAAUAUACGAAUGUGGGUUGAUUAUCGAGGUUUAAAUAAUUUUGAUCCUUGCGAUUUGUUAGUGAAGAGAGACCAAAUUGUCCCAAUAGAACCUUGUGAACCGAAUAUUACUUUUCAAGAAAGUUGCGUUAAACCGUGUGAGUCUGUUAGAGAUUUGACCAAGCUGUGUGCCAUUCAAGAUGGAAGUUGCGUUAAAUCAUGUAUAAACUAAGUGUGCUUGCUGCGUUGGAAAAACAGCAUACAUGUGGUACGGUGAGAACGAAACUCAUCUAGUCGGUGGCUCAGUGGAUACCUAAAAUUCUCUAAGGAGUUUCCCCCUGAUGAAGCAAUACUAAAAGGUAGUUCCGUCGGAAACGAUUGUGAUUGAGCUUCCUAGACUGGGAAA